rnacentral:tRNA from 1 species
GUGCGUGUAUGUUAUUUAUUAAAUUCUCAGGCUGUUAACUUGAAGGAAGGUGGUAAGACACCCGCGUGCG